rnacentral:rRNA from 1 species
UACGGGGGGGGCAAGCGUUGUUCGGAAUUACUGGGCGUAAAGGGCUCGUAGGCGGCCAACUAAGUCAGACGUGAAAUCCCUCGGCUUAACCGGGGAACUGCGUCUGGGACUGAGUGGCUAGAGUUCGGGAGAGGAGAGUGGAAUUCCCAGUGUAGAGGUGAAAUUCGUAGAUAUUGGGAAGAACACCGGUGGCGAAGGCGGCUCUCUGGACCGAGACUGACGCUGAGGCGCGAAAGCGUGGGGAGCAAACAGG